GCAACGGAAGCAAAGUUAUCCGUCACCAUGUAUAUUGGCAUGACAAUUCAUUAUUUGUCCGUCGUGAAAUUUGAUAAAUUUGGCAUUUGAGGCGACGGGAUAUUUUUUUCUCGUCGUAAAAAUUUGUUUUAAUUUUUUCGUUCGCGGUUUGAUUUCCUCAUUUUUCCCGCAAUCUCUAUACUCUGGGAGAACCCUAACCCUCUCCAUUCCUGAAAGUCCUUCUCUCUCUUCUAUUACUUUCCCUCUCAAAAUCCCCUCUCCUAUCUCUGCUGGAGAAAAUCUCGAUUUCAACGGGAGAUAAACUAAGCAGUCGAAAGUUGACCGCUCCGAUGAGGGAAGAAUCAAGGAGAGACGUUGAAGAGAGGACCACUCAAGACUCCUUAUAAGUUAUACUUGAGGAUUGCUUUAAGAGGGUUUCGAGAGAGGAAGGUUUUCUGUCUUUCUGGAGGGGAAAUCAGGACAACGUCAUUCGGUAUUUCCCUACCCAGGCUUCUGCAAAAUAUUUUUGCACAAAGGGAAGGGAUCGGAUGGUCAUAAAGUUUCCUGUGGGAGAAAAAUGUGGAAGGCUUCUGCAAAACACCAUUAAGCUCAAUCUGAUUGUGGUCAGCAGUGAACAUUUCUGAACUUUACCAGAAAACAGGUUAAUACAACAAGAAAGGAAAAAUGAAUAGCGUGGAAAGUGGAAGCACAAGUCAGGGUAAUGCAGGCUGCAGAAAUAGGGGGCAGAGGGGAAGAACAAUGGCACAUGACAUUACGAAUUUGCCUAAUGGACAGAAAAUUCAUGUUGAAGUAAAUGAGUAUGGUGAACCAUGCAAACCCAAGAAAAAUGUUGCUAAAUUAAAUACCUGGGUUGGUACAUUAGCAAGAAACCACCUACUCUUACCAGUAAUGUACAUUGAUUGGCGGUUAGUGCCAAAGCCAUACAAAGAAGAUGCGUGGGAAAAAUAAUGGCAAAAUUUGACCUUGAUGAACAGAGCAAAGAUUGGGCAAUAGAUAAACUAAACGAUUGGUGGAGGGAUCACAAAUGCUAUUUGAAAUCCCUUUUUUUUUAUAAGUAUGAGACAGAUUUAGAACGGCGUGCAAACAUCGAUCUUCAGCGUAUGACGACAGAGCAAUGGGAUAUAAUGUUUAAGAUGUGGGAUGAUGAAAAAUUUAAGGACCUUUGUGAUAGGAACAAAAAAAAAAAAAAGGUCGAAACAGCUAAUGCGCCAUACAACAGGAGCCACUUCAUAUGCUGUUAUAUGUGAGCAUCUGCGAGAUGAGAACCCAGAUCAUUUGCCAGCUUCUAGUAUUGGUAUGUUCGAUUUCACUUGUAUGUCCAAGAAGACUAAGGAGGCUAUAGACCCCGUGUCAGCUGCAAUACUGGUUUGAAAUGCUAACAUAUAUAUAGUUAUGUUUUAUUUUCCUUUUAUGGACACUUAUUGUUGUCCCCUCAAUUUUGUUGUUGUUCAAUGUCACCUACGGAAGGAAAUAAAAGACCGCCUCAGCAAAGAAAGUGAAGAGAGAUAGAAAGACCCUGAAGUUGUGGACAAUUUUUUCAUAUAUGUAAUGAUGGGGGGGGGGGAUCCUCAUGGAAGGGUCCGCAUGUGGGGUGCUGGAGUAACUCCAACAAAGAUGUUUGGCGCAGAGGCAAUGGAUGCCAAGCGACGUACCCGACAAAUUGCAGAACUAAGAACAGAGAACUCAUAGUUAAAAGAACAGGUCUCGGAGUGUUUGGAGAAGAUUUCUCAAUAUGAUCAAAAGCUAGCUGAACGAGAUACAACGCUUGAGGCAUUGGAGGCCCAGAUGCUUGCUUUUGCGAAACAAUUGACGAACAAUACCCGGCCUUCCCGAUGAUAGGUAUAAAGUCAAAUUUAUACUUUACUUGAUUGUUUUGGAUUACUAUUUGGCGUAGAUGAUAGGCAUGUUUUUUGGGUCAACACAAACAUGUAUUUUUUUGAGUUGAAUGAAAGCAAUGAACAUAUUGGGUCAACCCCAUUAUGUUCAGGCAUAUAAGCAUUCAGGUUGGAACUUUAUUAUUGCUUAUUAUCUCAUGUAUGUAGCAUUGAACUUGUAAUGGAUCAAAUGACUUUUUAUUAUUGUAGAACACUUUUUUGAGUUGUAUAAAAGAAAAGAAUGCUUAGAUCCCA